rnacentral:misc_RNA from 1 species
AACACUGUUAACCUGCGGUACCUGCGGAGGGAUCAUUAAAGAUUGACCGAAAGGUCUUAUCUCUAUAUCCCUCACCUCUGUGAACUGUGGACCUCCGGGUCUAUUUAACAAACAUCAGUGUAAUGAACGUAUAUAUCAUUAAACAAAACAAAACUUUCAACAAUGGAUCU